rnacentral:rRNA from 1 species
UACGGGGGGGGCAAGCGUUGUUCGGAAUCACUGGGCGUAAAGCGCGCGUAGGCGGCUUCUUAAGUCAGGGGUGAAAUCCUGGAGCUCAACUCCAGAACUGCCUUUGAUACUGGGGAGCUUCGAGUCCGGGAGAGGUGAGUGGAACUGCGAGUGUAGAGGUGAAAUUCGUAGAUAUUCGCAAGAACACCAGUGGCGAAGGCGGCUCACUGGCCCGGUACUGACGCUGAGGUGCGAAAGCGUGGGGAGCAAACAGG